AGCGAACGCUGGCGGCAGGCCUAACACAUGCAAGUCGAACGAACUCUUCGGAGUUAGUGGCGGACGGGUGAGUAACACGUGGGAACGUGCCUUUAGGUUCGGAAUAACUCAGGGAAACUUGUGCUAAUACCGAAUGUGCCCUUCGGGGGAAAGAUUUAUCGCCUUUAGAGCGGCCCGCGUCUGAUUAGCUAGUUGGUGAGGUAAAGGCUCACCAAGGCGACGAUCAGUAGCUGGUCUGAGAGGAUGAUCAGCCACAUUGGGACUGAGACACGGCCCAACCUCCUACGGGAGGCAGCAGUGGGGAAUCUUGCGCAAUGGGCGAAAGCCUGACGCAGCCAUGCCGCGUGAAUGAUGAAGGUCUUAGGAUUGUAACAUUCUUUCACCGGGGACGAUAAUGACGGUACCCGGAGAAGAAGCCCCGGCUAACUUCGUG
rnacentral:rRNA from 1 species